rnacentral:rRNA from 1 species
AGAGUUUGAUCCUGGCUCAGGACGAACGCUGGCGGCGUGCUUAACACAUGCAAGUCGAGCGGAAAGGCCUUUCGGGGUACUCGAGCGGCGAACGGGUGAGUAACACGUGAGUAACCUGCCCCUGGCUUUGGGAUAACCAUCGGGAACGGUGGCUAAUACCGAAUAUUCACUUCUGGCCGCAUGGUUGGUGGUGGAAAGUUUUUCGGCUGGGGAUGGGCUCGCGGCCUAUCAGCUUGUUGGUGGGGUGAUGGCCUACCAAGGCUUUGACGGGUAGCCGGCCUGAGAGGGCGACCGGCCACACUGGGACUGAGACACGGCCCAGACUCCUACGGGAGGCAGCAGUGGGGAAUAUUGCACAAUGGGCGGAAGCCUGAUGCAGCGACGCCGCGUGAGGGAUGACGGCCUUCGGGUUGUAAACCUCUUUCAGCAGGGACGAAGCGAAAGUGACGGUACCUGCAGAAGAAGCGCCGGCCAACUACGUGCCAGCAGCCGCGGUAAUAC